rnacentral:rRNA from 1 species
CAGCAGCCACGGUAAUACGUAGGUGGCAAGCGUUGUCCGGAAUUAUUGGGCGUAAAGGGCUCGCAGGCGGUUUCUUAAGUCUGAUGUGAAAGCCCCCGGCUCAACCGGGGAGGGUCAUUGGAAACUGGGAAACUCGAGUGCAGAAGAGGAGAGUGGAAUUCCACGUGUAGCGGUGAAAUGCGUAGAGAUGUGGAGGAACACCAGUGGCGAAGGCGACUCUCUGGUCUGUAACUGACGCUGAGGAGCGAAAGCGUGGGGAGCGAACAGGAUUAGAUACCCGCGUAGUCCCUGUCUCUUAUAC